ACUACUCUCUCUCUCAUCUCACUCCAGCUUCUCUUUUCACCAUCGACACUCCCCUCUCUUUCGAACCAGCUCAUCUCUGCCUCACACUCUCUUGAGCUAUCGCCGGCUUCAUCUAACGACAGCGUAUCCUGUCAUCGCAGGCCACAGAUCUCCCUCAAACCAAAGGUGAUGGAGAGAAUCGCCGGACCUCUUUUUAAAGUAACAAUUAGAAAGUUAAAUGUGAAAUCCAAAGUUCACGAAAUGGUAGAAAUCGUAGAGGGAGAGGAUGGAAAUGGAGGCAGCUACUUCUUGUAUAGUUCUUGGUGCUCCCGUUCUUACCAUUAUGUUUGUUGUAACAUUCCAUACACACGCCAUCAAGAUAAAGGGCUACUUAUGUUCUUAGGUAAGAAGUUAUUUAUGUUCUUUAUCAUAUCUGAUACAUUAUUAUUCUUUUCUUAUCAAUAUCAAUAUUGAUGCUUAUGAGAAUCUUCACGUCGUGUUGUAUAGAAAUGAGUUCACAAAUCCUUGCCUACAAAGAUGAUAUUAGGCAUGUGCACCCUUAAAAUAGAAGGAAUUGAUGAAAGCCAAACUUCUUCUGCAUAAAUCUGAAUUGGGUGACCAGAACAAUAGCUAGUCAAAUGACGGGAGCAUGAUGAAAAGAGCAUGAGAAGAUAAGUGUGGAAAUACCUAUUAUCAUCUUUGUGGGCAAGAAUUUAAGAAAAUCAUCUUCUGUAUAACGUGAUGUGAGGAUUUUUAGAAAUAUCAAUACUGAUCUUGAGGAAGAAAAGAGUGAUAUUGCAUCGGAUAUGAUAAAGAUUGUAAAUAGUUUUUUAUCUAAAAACAUUAGUAGCCUUGUAUCUGGAUACCACCUAGUAUGACACAUGCUACAACAAAUAUAAUGGGAAAUAACAGCACCAUUGAUCAAACAAUUUCAGCCCGCCAUGUAUCAAGCAUCCCAAGGCCAUAUUUAGAGUCGCAUUAAAAAGUGCUGCUCUCUCCAAAAAUGCGGAGGACUAAUAGAUAUGUUUUUUUCUCUAAACUUUUUUUCUAUAUAGUUAUUUUGUUAAAUAAUGUACUGUCUUAAGCAUCGGAGCAUCUUCGGUCUCUUGGAGACCAGCGGAUGUUACUUCUUUUUUUCUUAUUUUGCAGGUGGCCUGUUGUUUCGGCUAUCGAAGAAUUGCUGCAAACUGUUCUCGUAUGUGGGAAUCCAUGGAGCUCGCUCUUUCUUUUAAGUUUCUUGUCAUAUCUCGUUUGCUGAACGUGGGGGACAAGCUUUGGGGAGCCAAAGUUAAACAAGCCAAUUGUGUUUGUUUUUUAAUUGCCUAAAAGCAAAUUUAUCUGAAGCCCUCAAACCUAUUCAUAUGCAUGAGCUGGGAUGCUGGCAGGUCUUUCCGACAGAUGGCCACUAUGCUUCUCUUUUGAACAAAUGAAUGAAGGCAGGUCGUGCAGAGUGUGGGGCUGGAAGCUCACCCACUAAUUGAAUCAGAUUGUUGAACUUGAUUAAGUUGAUUCAAUCCCUUUUGAUCUGGGAAUGUUAGUCUAACUGAAGGAUUACAACACUUCUUAAGAAAAGGAAGUGAGGCAUUAUUUUUCGAACAUAAGAUUUUAUCUUAAAACAAUUUGAAAAUCACUUAGUGAUAUGUGUAAGCAUGUGAUAUGACUCAUGUCAAAUAAAUAGAAUAACUCUUAAUUCCAUAAA